rnacentral:tRNA from 1 species
CCCUGGGUAGUGCAAUAGUUACCACACUUGGCUGCUAACCAAAAGUUUGGAGGUUCAAGUCCACCCAGAGGCA